UCAGGAUGAACGCUGGCGGCGUGCCUAACACAUGCAAGUCGAACGGAGUUACGAGAGCUUGCUUUGUAACUAGUGGCGGACGGGUGAGUAAUGUAUGAGCAACCUGCCUUUCAGAGGGGGACAACAGUUGGAAACGACUGCUAAUACCGCAUAAUGUAUUCAGGAGGCAUCUCCCGAAUACCAAAGGAGCAAUCCGCUGAAAGAUGGGCUCAUAUCUGAUUAGCUAGUUGGUGGGGUAACGGCUCACCAAGGCUGCGAUCAGUAGCCGGACUGAGAGGUUGAACGGCCACAUUGGGACUGAGAUACGGCCCAGACUCCUACGGGAGGCAGCAGUGGGGAAUAUUGGGCAAUGGGCGAAAGCCUGACCCAGCAACGCCGCGUGAAGGAAGAAGGUCUUCGGAUUGUAAACUUCUUUUAUGAGGGACGAAGGACGUGACGGUACCUCAUGAAUAAGCCACGGCUAACUACGUGCCAGCCGCAGC
rnacentral:rRNA from 1 species